UGGGGAAUAUUGCACAAUGGGCGCAAGCCUGAUGCAGCCAUGCCGCGUGUGUGAAGAAGGCCUUCGGGUUGUAAAGCACUUUCAGCGAGGAGGAAGGUGGUGAGCUUAAUACGCUCAUCAAUUGACGUUACUCGCAGAAGAAGCACCGGCUAACUCCGUGCCAGCAGCCGCGGUAAUACGGAGGGUGCAAGCGUUAAUCGGAAUUACUGGGCGUAAAGCGCACGCAGGCGGUUUGUUAAGUCAGAUGUGAAAUCCCCGGGCUCAACCUGGGAACUGCAUUUGAAACUGGCAAGCUAGAGUCUCGUAGAGGGGGGCUAGAAUUUCCAGGUGUAGCGGUGAAAUGCGUAGAGAUCUGGAGGAAUACCGGUGGCGAAGGCGGCCCCCUGGACGAAGACUGACGCUCAGGUGCG
rnacentral:rRNA from 1 species